rnacentral:rRNA from 1 species
GAUGAACGUUGGCGGCGUGCCUAAUACAUGCAAGUCGAGCGGUGCAGUUUGAAGCUUCGGUGGAAAGCUGCAUAGCGGCGGACGGGUGAGGAAAACGUAGGAACGUGCCCCUUGGAGUUGGAUAGCCACGGGAAACUGUGGGUAAACCGACAUAGACUCGAGAGAGUAAAGGCCGAAAGGCGCCAAGGGAGCGGCCUGCGGCCCAUCAGGUAGUUGGUAGUGUAAAGGACUACCAAGCCGACGACGGGUAGCCGGUCUGAGAGGAUGGCCGGCCACAAGGGCACUGAGAGACGGGCCCUACUCCUACGGGAGGCAGCAGUGGGGGAUUUUGGACAAUGGGCGAAAGCCUGAUCCAGCGACGCCGCGUGGAGGACGAAGCCCUUCGGGGUGUAAACUUCUUUUCUGUCAGAAGAAUAAGCUUGUCGAGACGAGUGAUGCCGGUAUGACAGGAAUAAGCAUCGGCUAACUCCGUG